rnacentral:lncRNA from 1 species
AUAAAAUAAGAUGUUGUGAGUGCACCCAACCUCAGAAGAGCUCUCUGGCUUCCUAUGUAAGGACGCAACCUCUCCCCUCACACUCACUCCUCCAUGUGCUUUUGCCAAAGAGCCACCUGACCAGAGGCCAAAUCAAUGAGGCUGCCUGAUUUUCAGCCUCCAAAACUUCAAGCUACAUAAACUCUUUAUAAAGUUAGCUUGCUUUAAGCAUUUCCUUAUAAUGAUGAAAAAUGGGUGAAUACAGGGUCCCUCAAGAACUGUGAGCUAUAUAAAUAGUUGUAUUAAUUCACAAAGUUUGGGCACAGCUUGAACGCUGCACAGCUGACUGAUACACCUAUACGUUUGAUAGCUCCACCUAUCACUGACCGAUAUUUACAGAUUGACUUUACUCCUCGUUACUUGACCAGAAAACACUAUCUGUGUGCAAGCCAGAGCCCCAGAGAGACAGGCUCCUUUUCAAAAACACAAAUGACAUCCAAAAUCUGGAGGCAGCUCUGGGGGAGAGGAAGGGACAGCAGUGAAACAGAGUCGGGUCCAUGUUGGGGAAGAGCUCAGGGGUCUCCGAGGGCAAGACCAGGAACCCAGAGUCCAGCGGCAGAACCGCUGUGCUGGGGAGGGAGUCACUCUCUCCACACAGCUGGGAGCGUACAUCCCAUCCUGGCUGAGCCAGCUGUGCCAUUUCAGCUGGAGUGAUGGCAUCAAAACCGAGGCAGCAAUUUGGAAAGCAGUAUGGAGAUUCCUGGGAAAGCUGGGAAUGGAACCACCAUUUGACCCAGCUAUUGCCCUUCUCGGACUAUUCCCUGAAGACCUUAAAAGAGCGUACUAUAGGGAUACUGCUACAUCGAUGUUCAUAGCAGCACAAUUCACAAUAGCUAGACUGUGGAACCAACCCAGAUGCCCUUCAAUAGAUGAAUGGAUAAAAAAAAUGUGGCAUUUAUACACAAUGGAGUAUUACUCAGCACUAAAAAAUGACAAAAUCAUGGAAUUUGCAGGGAAAUGGAUGGCACUAGAGCAGA